rnacentral:rRNA from 1 species
UGACGGGCCGCACAAGCGGUGGAGCAUGUGUUAAUUCGAUGAUACGCGAAGAACCGUUACCGGGGUUUGACAUGCAGGUGAUCCGCCGUUGAAAGUACCGGUUUCCUCUUCGGAGGCACCUGCACGAGGUGCUGCAUGGCUGUCGUCAGCUCGUGUCGUGGGAUGUUGGGUUAAGUCCCGCAACGAGCGCAACCCUUAUCCCCAGUUGCCAUCAGGUAAAGCUGGGAACUCUGGGGAGACUGCCGGUGAUAAACCGGAGGAAGGCGGGGAUGACGUCAAGUCCUCAUGGCCCUUACAUCCCGGGCUACACACGUGCUACAAUGGCAGGUACAGAGGGCUGCGAAGCCGCGAGGUGGAGCGAAUCCCAGAAAACCUGUCUCAGUCCGGAUUGAAAGUCUGCAACUCGACUUCAUGAAGGCGGAAUCGCUAGUAACCGCGAAUCAGCAGGUCGCGGUGAAUACGUUCCCGGGCCUU